rnacentral:rRNA from 1 species
AUUGAACGCUGGCGGCAUGCUUUACACAUGCAAGUCGAACGGUAACAGGCCGCAAGGUGCUGACGAGUGGCGAACGGGUGAGUAAUGCAUCGGAACGUGCCCAGUCGUGGGGGAUAACGCAGCGAAAGCUGCGCUAAUGCCGCAUACGAUCUCUGGAUGAAAGCGGGGGACCGAAAGGCCUCGCGCGAUUGGAGCGGCCGAUGUCAGAUUAGGUAGUUGGUGGGGUAAAGGCCCACCAAGCCAACGAUCUGUAGCUGGUCUGAGAGGACGACCAGCCACACCGGGACUGAGACACGGCCCAGACUCCUACGGGAGGCAGCAGUGGGGAAUUUUGGACAAUGGGCGCAAGCCUGAUCCAGCAAUGCCGCGUGCAGGAAGAAGGCCUUCGGGUUGUAAACUGCUUUUGUACGGAACGAAACGGUCCGGGUUAAUACCCUGGGCUAAUGACGGUACCGUAAGAAUAAACACCGGCUAACUACGUGCCAGCCGCCGCCGUAA